rnacentral:rRNA from 1 species
GAUGAACGCUGGCGGUAUGCUUAACACAUGCAAGUCGAACGGACUCUUCGGAGUUAGUGGCGGACGGGUGAGUAACGCGUGAGAAUCUGGCUUUGGGUUCGGGACAACCACUGGAAACGGUGGCUAAUACCGGAUGUGCCGAGAGGUAAAAGAGAAAUUGCCUGAAGAUGAGCUCGCGUCUGAUUAGCUAGUUGGUGAGUUAAAGGCUCACCAAGGCAGCGAUCAGUAGCUGGUCUGAGAGGAUGACCAGCCACACUGGGACUGAGACACGGCCCAGACUCCUGCGGGAGGCAGCAGUGGGGAAUUUUCCGCAAUGGGCGAAAGCCUGACGGAGCAAUACCGCGUGAGGGAAGAAGGCUCUUGGGUUGUAAACCUCUUUUCUUAGGGAAGAACAAAAUGACGGUACCUAAGGAAUCAGCAUCGGCUAACUCCGUG